UCCCCGUUAUCCGGGGCGGUUUCGCUAGAGUGCCCGGCUUGACCCGCUGGCAACUAGUGGCGAGGGUUGCGCUCGUUGCGGGACUUAACCCAACAUCUCACGACACGAGCUGACGACAGCCAUGCAGCACCUUCUCACUCGCUCCCCGAAGGGCACGACCACAUCUCUGCAUGUCAAACCCAGGUAAGGUUCUUCGCGUUGCCUCGAAUUAAACCACACGCUCCGCUGCUUGUGCGGGCCCCCGCCUAUUCCUUUGAGUUUUAACCUUGCGGCCGUAGUCCCCAGGCGGUGAACUUAAUGCGUUAGCUGCGGCACUGAUCGGGUCAAUCCGACCAACACCUAGUUCACAACGUUUAGGGCGUGGACUAC
rnacentral:misc_RNA from 1 species